UACGAAGGGGGCUAGCGUUGUUCGGAUUUACUGGGCGUAAAGCGCACGUAGGCGGAUCGUUAAGUCAGGGGUGAAAUCCUGGGGCUCAACCCCAGAACUGCCUUUGAUACUGGCGAUCUCGAGUCCGGAAGAGGUGAGUGGAACUCCUAGUGUAGAGGUGGAAUUCGUAGAUAUUAGGAAGAACACCAGUGGCGAAGGCGGCAUCCUGGACCGGUAUUGACGCUGAGGCGCGAAAGCUAGGGGAGCAAAGCGGG
rnacentral:rRNA from 1 species